rnacentral:lncRNA from 1 species
AAGCCGAAGCCAUGUCUGUUGUUGAUCUCUGCUCUACACUAAGGAGGUUUGAAGCUCUCCUGGCAGGUGAUGCUCCUUGCUGAUGUGUACUGGAUCUCAAAACAGCCUGUACCUUCCCUGAGCAGGCACUGGGGUUUGUUUUGGGAAGGAGACAGCCUACCUUUCCCCAUAUAUUAACAGGGAAAAGCUGGAGGCUGUCCAUCCUCUGGGGUGCUCAGAGGUGGCCUGGGAGGAGAGGAGAUGCUCCCAGCACUGCCAGCAGCAACUGCAGGAGAUGGAGCAGCACCUGGCCCUGAAAGGGGACAUCAGGCAGGGCAGGGGGACAUCGUCAUGCAUGACCCCGACCUCAGGAAAGGUCAGGCUGGGCUCACCAAGGUGUUUGCAAGUGGCAUCUUUCGGUAUUUGCAGCAGUCUCUCUUCUCGCUUUGGGUUGUGUGUAUGGCUGUAACUCUCAGCUGGACAUCAACAUUAUAGAUACAAGCCUCGUGAAUUAGAUAUUAUAGCAGAAACGGCUUAUGAGAGCCCUGUGUGAAUCCUUAGCUGCUCUCUCCACACCCAGCAUAGCUGAAGCCCAUCCGGGCUGUGCAGUGGCAUCAAGAAGAGAUACAGCAAAAACAAAGAGGGACACAUGAAAAAGGACAUAAGAAAUUGAAGAAACAAGCAGAGCAUGAGAAACAUAAACAGCAGCAGCUGGGCACAAUUCAUUCCAGCCUUCCUCAGUAGCUGAAU